rnacentral:ncRNA from 1 species
UAUAGCAUGAACCGGUGUUCGAACUCCAGCGUCAUCACAGCCAUUCAUCCACCAUCUUCACAGAUGAGAUGUCUGGCCUGAUGACAACAUGCUGGGUUCGUUCUGAAAUCAUACGGUUAAUUACUUGAUCAGGAUAAUACCUGCGAAAGGAUCAUGCCUUACCCUUCU